rnacentral:misc_RNA from 1 species
GAUGAAGAACGUAGCGAAAUGCGAUAAGUAAUGUGAAUUGCAGAAUUCAGUGAAUCAUCGAAUCUUUGAACGCACAUUGCGCCCGUCAGUAUUCUGGCGGGCAUGCCUGUUCGAGCGUCAUUACGCCCCUCAAGUCCCCUGUGGACUUGGUGUUGGGGAUCGGCGAGGCUGGUUUUCCAGCACAGCCGUCCCUUAAAUUAAUUGGCGGUCUCGCCGUGGCCCUCCUCUGCGCAGUAGUAAAACACUCGCAACAGGAGCCCGGCGCGGUCCACUGCCGUAAAACCCCCCAACUUUUUAUAGUUGACCUCGAAUCAGGUAGGACUACCCGCUGAACUUAAGCAUAUCAAUAAGCGGAGGAA